rnacentral:rRNA from 1 species
GAUGAACGCUGGCGGCGUGCCUAAUACAUGCAAGUCGAGCGAACAGACGAGGAGCUUGCUCCUCUGACGUUAGCGGCGGACGGGUGAGUAACACGUGGAUAACCUACCUAUAAGACCGGGAUAACUUCGGGAAACCGGAGCUAAUACCGGAUAAUAUAUUGAACCGCAUGGUUCAAUAGUGAAAGACGGUUUUGCUGUCACUUAUAGAUGGAUCCGCGCCGCAUUAGCUAGUUGGUAAGGUAACGGCUUACCAAGGCGACGAUGCGUAGCCGACCUGAGAGGGUGAUCGGCCACACUGGAACUGAGACACGGUCCAGACUCCUACGGGAGGCAGCAGUAGGGAAUCUUCCGCAAUGGGCGAAAGCUUGACGGAGCAACGCCGCGUGAGUGAUGAAGGUCUUCGGAUCGUAAAACUCUGUUAUUAGGGAAGAACAAAUGUGUAAGUAACUAUGCACGUCUUGACGGUACCUAAUCAGAAAGCCACGGCUAACUACGUG